rnacentral:rRNA from 1 species
GAUAAGUGCUGAAAGCAUCUAAGCAUGAAGCCCCCCUCAAGAUGAGAUUUCCCAACUUCGGUUAUAAGAUCCCUCAAAGAUGAUGAGGUUAAUAGGUUCGAGGUGGAAGCAUGGUGACAUGUGGAGCUGACGAAUACUAAUCGAUCGAAGACUUAAUCAAAA